rnacentral:tRNA from 1 species
AUAUCCGUGGCGUAACGGCAACCGCAACAGGUUUAAGCCCUGUACAAUUGUGAGUUCGAGUCUCACCGGGUAUA